CUCUCCUCUUGGUGAAGCUAGUGAGUGCCAUUUUGGAAUUGGGCAGGAAGUACCACCUAUCGUAGAACCUUGGGCCAACCAUUUCUAGUUAGGGUUCGGAACGGAGAUUUAAGUUAGGAACAAAAGAGUGGCGAUCGUCAGGAGGAAGUUUCCUGUCUGGUAGAGGAGACAUUGUCCUUGCCGCGAGCGAACAGCAAUUAAAAUGGAGAUUUCCACCCGGAGCAGAGCUUAAAGGACAGAGCUGCUGAGGAUAAACACCUGACUGAUGUCCAGACAGAGGACUCUGAAAAGUUAAACGUUCCAGACCUUCAGCCAGCACUCACUCUCCUUGGGGAGAUCCUGGGCCAUUGUUGACAGAGGCAGCUUUUGUAUUCAGUAUGUAGCUUUUAGUGCUUCAAAUAAAUCCCUUUAAUAACUUGGAUUGAA